UUCCGGUUGAUCCCGCCGGACCUAACUGCUAUCGGAUUGAUACUAAGCCAUGCGAGUCGCUGUAGCAAUACAGGGCGGACUGCUCAGUAACACGUAGUCAACCUAACCUAUGGACGGGGAUAACCUCGGGAAACUGAGGAUAAAACCCGAUAGAUCAUUAUACCUGGAAUGGUUAAUGGUCCAAACAGUUUACUGCCAUAGGAUGGGACUGCGGUCUAUCAGCUUGUUGGUGAGGUAAUGGCUCACCAAGGCUUUGACAGAUACGGGCUCUGAGAGGAGUAGCCCGGAGAUGGGUACUGAGACACGGACCCAGGCCCUAUGGGGCGCAGCAGGCGAGAAAACUUGGCAAUGUGCGAAAGCACGACCAGGUUAAUCCGAGUGGUUCCUGCUAAAGGAACCUUUUGUUAGUCUUUAAUACACUAUCGAAUAAGGGGUGGGCAAGUCCUGGUGUCAGCCGCCGCGGUAAAACCAGCACCUCGAGUGGUCAGGAGGUUUAUUGGGCCUAAAGCAUCCGUAGCCUGCUGUGCAAGUCUUCGGUUAAAUCCAUCUGCUCAACAGAUGGGCUGCCGGUGAUACUACACGGCUAGGGAGUGGGAGAGGUCGAUGGUACUCGGUGGGAAGGGGUAAAAUCCUUUGAUCCAUUGAUGACCACCUGUGGCGAAGGCGGUCGACCAGAACACGUCCGACGGUGAGGGAUGAAAGCUGGGGGAGCAAACCGGAUUAGAUACCCGGGUAGUCCCAGCUGUAAACGAUGCAAACUCAGUGAUGCCUUGGCAUGUAGCCAAUGCAGUGCCGCAGGGAAGCCGUUAAGUUUGCCGCCUGGGAAGUACGUUCGCAAGAAUGAAACUUAAAGGAAUUGGCGGGGGAGCACCACAAGGGGUGAAGCCUGCGGUUCAAUUGGAGUCAACGCCGGGA
rnacentral:rRNA from 1 species